CAGCGAGAGGUGCUUGCACCUUUUCAAGCGAGUGGCGAACGGGUGAGUAACACGUGGAUAACCUGCCUCAAGGCUGGGGAUAACAUUUGGAAACAGAUGCUAAUACCGAAUAAAACUUAGUAUCGCAUGAUAUCAAGUUAAAAGGCGCUACGGCGUCACCUAGAGAUGGAUCCGCGGUGCAUUAGUUAGUUGGUGGGGUAAAGGCUUACCAAGACAAUGAUGCAUAGCCGAGUUGAGAGACUGAUCGGCCACAUUGGGACUGAGACACGGCCCAAACUCCUACGGGAGGCUGCAGUAGGGAAUCUUCCACAAUGGGCGCAAGCCUGAUGGAGCAACGCCGCGUGUGUGAUGAAGGCUUUCGGGUCGUAAAGCACUGUUGUAUGGGAAGAAAUGCUAAAAUAGGGAAUGAUUUUAGUUUGACGGUACCAUACCAGAAAGGGACGGCUAAAUACGUGCCAGCAGCCGCGGUAAUACGUAUGUCCCGAGCGUUAUCCGGAUUUAUUGGGCGUAAAGCGAGCGCAGACGGUUGAUUAAGUCUGAUGUGAAAGCCCGGAGCUCAACUCCGGAAUGGCAUUGGAAACUGGUUAACUUGAGUGUUGUAGAGGUAAGUGGAACUCCAUGUGUAGCGGUGGAAUGCGU
rnacentral:rRNA from 1 species